CAUGUCUCAGUACAAGCCACAUUAAGGUGAAACCGCGAAAGGCUCAUUAAAUCAGUUAUGGUUCCUUAGAUCGUACCCACAUUUACUUGGAUAACUGUGGUAAUUCUAGAGCUAAUACAUGCAAACAGAGUUCCGACCGGAGACGGGAGGAAUGCUUUUAUUAGAUCAAAACCAAUCGGCGGCGGUUGCGUUCGCGCUGCCGUUCGCCGCUCAACCUGGUGACUCUGAAUAACUUUCGGCUGAUCGCACGGUCCAGCACCGGCGACGCAUCUUUCAAAUGUCUGCCUUAUCAACUGUCGAUGGUAGGUUCUGCGCCUACCAUGGUCGUAACGGGUAACGGGGAAUCAGGGUUCGAUUCCGGAGAGGGAGCCUGAGAAACGGCUACCACAUCCAAGGAAGGCAGCAGGCGCGCAAAUUACCCACUCCCGGCACGGGGAGGUAGUGACGAAAAAUAACGAUACGGGACUCAUCCGAGGCCCCGUAAUCGGAAUGAAUACACUUUAAAUCCUUUAACGAGGAUCCAUUGGAGGGCAAGUCUGGUGCC
rnacentral:rRNA from 1 species